rnacentral:rRNA from 1 species
GAACGAACGCUGGCGGCAGGCUUAACACAUGCAAGUCGAGCGCACUCUUUUAGAGUGAGCGGCAGACGGGUGAGUAACGCGUGGGAAUCUACCCAGAUCUACGGAAUAACACAGAGAAAUUUGUGCUAAUACCGUAUACGCCCUACGGGGGAAAGAUUUAUCGGAUUUGGAUGAGCCCGCGUUGGAUUAGCUAGUUGGUAGGGUAAAGGCCUACCAAGGCGACGAUCCAUAGCUGGUCUGAGAGGAUGAUCAGCCACACUGGGACUGAGACACGGCCCAGACUCCUACGGGAGGCAGCAGUGGGGAAUAUUGGACAAUGGGGGCAACCCUGAUCCAGCCAUGCCGCGUGAGUGAUGAAGGCCUUAGGGUUGUAAAGCUCUUUCACCGGUGAAGAUAAUGACGGUAACCGGAGAAGAAGCCCCGGCUAACUUCGUGCCAGCGCCAGCGUUCGUU